AGCGAACGCUGGCGGCAGGCUUAACACAUGCAAGUCGAGCGGGCGUAGCAAUACGUCAGCGGCAGACGGGUGAGUAACGCGUGGGAACGUACCUUUUGGUUCGGAACAACACAGGGAAACUUGUGCUAAUACCGGAUAAGCCCUUACGGGGAAAGAUUUAUCGCCGAAAGAUCGGCCCGCGUCUGAUUAGCUAGUUGGUGAGGUAACGGCUCACCAAGGCGACGAUCAGUAGCUGGUCNGAGAGGAUGAUCAGCCACAUUGGGACUGAGACACGGCCCAAACUCCUACGGGAGGCAGCAGUGGGGAAUAUUGGACAAUGGGCGCAAGCCUGAUCCAGCCAUGCCGCGUGAGUGAUGAAGGCCCUAGGGUUGUAAAGCUCUUUUGUGCGGGAAGAUAAUGACGGUACCGCAAGAAUAAGCCCCGGCUAACUUCGUGCC
rnacentral:rRNA from 1 species